AUAGUUCUUCCCUAGCCUAGUGGUAAUAAGGUUGGCAUGAGCAUCCCAGUUCUGCAGUUCGAUUCCCCAAUAUGUCAAAUUUUGUUUUUCUCCGUUUUUUAAGCAAUUUUUUUUUUUCAUAUUUCGUAGCCAAAAUUAAUAAAACGAAUAUCUAUAUAUAUAUACAUGUAUAUAACUUCGAGAUUUUAAAAAAAAUAAUAUUUUACUUAAAUGAAAAUUAUAAAAGAUAAGAAUAAAGAAAAAUUAGAAACAAAAUUAUAAACCUAAAACAUAUUACGCUUCUUCUUCUUCCUCAUCGUCAAACCCCCAGCCCUAUUUCUGUUUUCAAUUUUUUUUCAAUCUCAACAAGUUUAGAAUCAUCUCUCUUUUCUUUUUAUUUUGCUUUUGGUUGAAGCUUGGUGGAGGCUUUAAAUCUUC
rnacentral:lncRNA from 1 species